rnacentral:sRNA from 1 species
GGGCGGGGGAUACGCUGGGCGCGUCCCGGGGGUCACGUGGUGCAGAGCACGCAGAGUCCUUCUGUCGGUUGGUCCUGGAGCGGCGCAGCCGGAGUGGGGCCGUGAGUUGCUUAAAACUAUCCAGUUCCCCUUCCGGGAGACAAACCGGAUUACUUGAUCCUCCUUCCCGAGGUAGCCCACGCAUUUAAAAACAGGUAUCCAGCUCACAUAGAAGACAUUGACUACGAGGAAGGAAAAGUACUCAUCCAUUUCAAGCGUUGGAACCAUCGUUAUGAUGAGUGGUUCUGCUGGGACAGUCCUUAUUUACGCCCUUUAGAGAAAAUACAGCUGAGGAAAGAGGGCUUGCAUGAAGAGGAUGGAUCUUCUGAAUUUCAAAUAAAUGAGCAGGUCCUUGCUUGCUGGUCUGAUUGUCGUUUUUACCCGGCCAAAGUCACUGCUGUUAACAAGGAUGGUACUUACACUGUGAAAUUUUAUGAUGGAGUAGUUCAGACUGUCAAACAUAUUCAUGUCAAAGCUUUUUCCAAAGAUCAGAAUAUUGUGGGUAAUGCUAGGCCUAAAGAAACAGAUCACAAAAGUCUUUCAUCAUCUCCUGAUAAACGAGAGAAGUUUAAAGAACAGAGAAAAGCAACAGUGAAUGUGAAGAAAGACAAAGAAGAUAAACCCUUAAAGACAGAAAAGCGACCCAAGCAGCCUGAUAAAGAAGGAAAGUUAAUCUGUUCUGAAAAGGGGAAAGUGUCAGAGAAAAGUCUUCCCAAGAACGAGAAGGAAGACAAGGAAAACAUUUCCGAAAAUGACAGAGAGUAUUCUGGAGAUGCCCAAGUGGAUAAGAAACCUGAAAAUGACAUUGUGAAGAGUCCACAAGAAAACUUGAGGGAACCCAAAAGAAAACGAGGCAGACCCCCUUCCAUAGCUCCUACUG